GACGAACGCUGGCGGCGUGCUUAACACAUGCAAGUCGAGCGGCAAGGCCCUUUCGGGGGUACGACGAGCGGCGAACGGGUGAGUAACACGUGGGUGACCUGCCCUCAGCUCUGGGAUGAGCCUGGGAAACGUGGGUCUAAUACCGGAUAUGACCCCAUGACGCAUGUCGUGGGGUGGAAAGCCUUGUGCGGCUGAGGAUGGGCCCGCGGCCUAUCAGCUUGUUGGUGGGGUGAUGGCCUACCAAGGCGACGACGGGUAGCCGGCCUGAGAGGGCGACCGGCCACACCGGGACUGAGACACGGCCCAGACUCCUACGGGAGGCAGCAGUGGGGAAUCUUGCGCAAUGGGCGAAAGCCUGACGCAGCGACGCCGCGUGAGGGAUGACGGCCUCGGUUGUAACGU
rnacentral:rRNA from 1 species